rnacentral:rRNA from 21 species
AUACGACUCUCGGCAACGGAUAUCUAGGCUCUCGCAUCGAUGAAGAACGUAGCAAAAUGCGAUACUUGGUGUGAAUUGCAGAAUCCCGUGAAUCAUCGAGUUUUUGAACGCAAGUUGCGCCCGAAGCCAUU